GACGAACGCUGGCGGCGUGCUUAACACAUGCAAGUCGAACGGAAAGGCCCUGCUUUUGUGGGGUGCUCGAGUGGCGAACGGGUGAGUAACACGUGAGUAACCUGCCCUUGACUUUGGGAUAACUUCAGGAAACUGGGGCUAAUACCGGAUAGGAGCUCCUGCUGCAUGGUGGGGGUUGGAAAGUUUCGGCGGUUGGGGAUGGACUCGCGGCUUAUCAGCUUGUUGGUGGGGUAGUUGCUUACCAAGGCUUUGACGGGUAGCCGGCCUGGGAGCGUGAACGGCCACAUUGGGACUGAGAUACGGCGCAGACUCCUACGGGAGGCAGCAGUGGGGAAUAUUGCACAAUGGGCGGAAGCCUGAUGCAGAAACGUCGCGUGCGUGAUGACGGCUUUCGGGUUGUAAACCGCUUUCGCCUGUGACGAAGCGUGAGUGACGGUAAUGGGUAAAGAAGCACCGGCUAACUACGUG
rnacentral:rRNA from 1 species